UCCGCCAUGGACGGCGGUGUUUUCCAGCAGAAGCAAUGUUUUGCCGAAUGGCAAAACUCGUGUUUCCCGAUAGACACGGAUGUCUAUCGGGAAACGACA
rnacentral:sRNA from 1 species